rnacentral:rRNA from 1 species
UACAGAGGGGGCAAGCGUUAAUCGGAAUUACUGGGCGUAAAGCGUACGCAGGCGGUUUUGUAAGUCUGACGUGAAAUCCCCGGGCUUAACCUGGGAAUUGCGUUGGAGACUGCAAGGCUGGAGUCUGGCAGAGGGGGGUAGAAUUCCACGUGUAGCAGUGAAAUGCGUAGAGAUGUGGAGGAACACCGAUGGCGAAGGCAGCCCCCUGGGUCAAGAUUGACGCUCAUGCACGAAGGCGUGGGGAGCAAACAGG